GACGAACGCUGGCGGCGUGCCUAACACAUGCAAGUCGAGCGAUGAAACUUCUUCGGAAGUGGAUUAGCGGCGGACGGAUGAGUAACACGCGGGUAACCUGCCUCAUAGUGGGGGAUAACCUUUCGAAAGGAGGAUUAAUACCCUAUAAGAUUGUAGCUUCGCAUGAAGUAGCAAUAAAAGGAGCAAUCCGCUAUGAGAUGGACCCGCGUCGCAUUAGCUAGUUGGUAAGGUAAUGGCUUACCAAGGCGACGAUGCGUAGCCGACCUGAGAGGGUGAUCGGCCACAUUGGGACUGAGACACGGCCCAGACUCCUACGGGAGGCAGCAGUGGGGGAUAUUGCACAAUGGGGGAAACCCUGAUGCAGCAACGCCGCGUGAGUGAUGACGGUCUUCGGAUUGUAAAACUCUGUCUUUGGGGACGAUAAUGACGGUACCCAAGGAGGAAGCCACGGCUAACUACGUGCCAGCAGCCGCGGUAA
rnacentral:rRNA from 1 species